UUUUAUUUGAGAGUUUGAUCCUGGCUCAGGAUGAACGCUGGCGGCGUGCCUAACACAUGCAAGUUGAGCGAUUUACUUCGGUAAAGAGCGGCGGACGGGUGAGUAACGCGUGGGUAACCUACCCUGUACACACGGAUAACAUACCGAAAGGUAUGCUAAUACGGGAUAAUAUAUUUGAGAGGCAUCUCUUAAAUAUCAAAGGUGAGCCAGUACAGGAUGGACCCGCGUCUGAUUAGCUAGUUGGUAAGGUAACGGCUUACCAAGGCGACGAUCAGUAGCCGACCUGAGAGGGUGAUCGGCCACAUUGGAACUGAGACACGGUCCAAACUCCUACGGGAGGCAGCAGUGGGGAAUAUUGCACAAUGGGCGAAAGCCUGAUGCAGCAACGCCGCGUGAGUGAUGAAGGCCUUCGGGUCGUAAAACCCUGUCCUCAAGGAAGAUAAUGACGGUACUUGAGGAGGAAGCCCCGGCUAACUACGUGCCAGCAGCCGCGGUAAUACGUAGGGGGCUAGCGUUAUCCGGAUUUACUGGG
rnacentral:rRNA from 1 species